CCCUUAGAUGUUCUGGGCUGCACGCGCGCUACACUGAUGCGCUCAACGAGUUUACGACCUUGCCCGGAAGGGUUGGGUAAUCUUUUUAAAACGCAUCGUGAUGGGGAUAGAUUAUUGCAAUUAUUAAUCUUUAACGAGGAAUUCCUAGUAAGCGCGAGUCAUCAGCUCGUGCUGAUUACGUCCCUGCCCUUUGUACACACCGCCCGUCGCUCCUACCGAUUGAGUGCUCCGGUGAAUAAUUCGGACUGCAGCAGUGUUCAGUUCCUGAACGUUGCAGCGGAAAGUUUAGUGAACCUUAUCACUUAGAGGAAGGAGAAGUCGUAACA
rnacentral:rRNA from 1 species